AUUUAUUUAUUUACAUUUUACAAUUUGUCCAGUAGGACAUUUGGUAUAAUAUUAUAGCUUAGUGGUAUAAUAAUAUAACACGUGGAUGGCUACCAUCCACAUACCAGUGGGAUACCAUCUUCGAAUUUGAUUGAUGUGUGUAUCUAUGUGGAAAAAUUGAGAUUUCAGACAAAUGAGCAAUAGAUAUAUCGAAGAAUGAACAAUCGAUAGUUCAUGACCGAUAAAUCGAAAAUUCUUGUGUCAGAAGCUCGAAGUCAACGAUAAAAAUCGCUACAUAAACGAAUCGCUAUAUUAUCGAAAAAUAAACAAUCGAUAACCAAAGAUUGAUAUAUCGGACAUUGAAGAUCGAUAAUAUGUCAGAAAUUCAAAAUGGAGGAGAAGAUCAAGAUCCUACAGUCAAUAACUCACGUAUAGAUAAAAAAUUGAUAUACUGAAAAUCUAGAAUCGAAGUAUAAGCUGUCGGUGACACUUACGAGAGAAAGGAUCGCGACAUGCGCAUCCCCUAUCGAAUCAUUCAUCGGUUGCUGUAUUUGGCGCGUGUUGCAGUUAAUGUACUUUAACCCAGACGCGAGACAGGAGUCCUACAUAAUAACAUUGCGUCGAAUUUACGUAAGGCUAAACCGGGCGCCGAGAGUGUCUUAGAACGGCCGAUCGACGUGUACAUUCCACGACAGAGAACGUAAAAGUUAACGUUGCCCCAUCGAAACCUACGGACUUUCACUCUCGACAAAAAUGUCCCUGCCGCUCCGUGUGUUUCUCCGAAACGGCUGGAACGUAACGUAAUACGGUCCCGUCGAUCUCCUGUCAUCUUCCUUCUUCUACAGUCCUCGCUUUCGUUAUGCAGUCGAGAUACGUAAACAACUCAUCGCACAUCCUUUUGAAUUUUUAUGUGUGAAUUAGAUUUGGAAAUUCGAGCCGUCAUUUUUUUGCCGAUGAUGUUACAUAGUUCGCGAACGUCAUUCGUUUAUCACGUGUACAAGCGACCAGUUUUCUAUAUUGUUACAUAGUUAUUAGGCUGAGAAUAUUUAUGAACAUUCAUAUUUCUAUGAAUAUCAUUAAACUAUUGAAUGUUUUAACGAAUGGAGUACGCUUUAGAUAUUUCUAUAUGUGUGUGUUCUACGCUUUGUUGUACCUUUGAAUUUUUUUUUUUAUUUAUUUGUUGAAAUUACAAUCAAUUCUCGCGUUGAGAAACCUUUGAAUUUCUCAUAAAUACCUAAAAUCCCUAGACUAAUGGCUACCGUUCGAUAUAAAGAGAAAUAGUUUGAAUCGUACCUAAAUAUAAUUAAGCAUAAAAACAUUCUAUUUGGAAUUAAUUUCAAAGAUCUGGAUGAUAUUAACAAUUAUGAUCUUAGAUUAUAAUUUAAUUACUUAACACAUCUGUUCUACUACGCGAAUAGCUAGCUACCAUUUCUAAUUAAAAAAUUCAAGGAUAAGUGCAUAAUAUAUAUCUGUUUUAUACGGUCACAGUAACGUCUCAGAUUAACGAUUCUCCUCGUGUAAGGGUGAGUCAUUCGAAUAUGACGAAUGUUUGCAAUCUCAAUACCAAAUAUAUAAAUAAUUGAUAUGCGUAGUGUGAAAAAGUAAGAUGUAAGCGUAAAAUAUGGAGAGAGGGCGCGAAUGUAUAGAUGCAAGGUUGUCGCGAAAGAUACGGCACUGGUCCGAAGAAAGUCGUUUCCCCGAGAGUCAUGUGAAGCCGUUUGCCAGUGGUGCUCGUCGGCUGCUUCGUGUAUCACGGCUCUCUGACCCAGAAACCCAGUUUCUUACCGAAUUAAAAGCGACAUCGCCGAGCGUACCAUGGCUUCGGUUAGAUACCAACGGCCAAAUAGAUAGCUGCCGUGUUACCAACGGCCAGCUGGAAAAUAAACUUCUUCGUGACCGAUCCCCCCGUUCCUCUGUACGAGCAGUCUCCAUUCUCAUCACCAUUUUUCUACCUUGUCCAUUUUUUUGUCCUUUAUUUCCGACAUUUAACUCUUAUACAUUUUAUAUUGCUUGAAUUUCAGUAAGUUAUUAAUUAAUUAAACGAUAAACGUGUGUAUUUUUGAUAAAACUGGACGAAACAUCAUUUUCCUAAACUUGAAAAAUAUUUCAAGCUUAAACAAAAUAUGAAAACGUUCUUACUGGUAUAUAUGAUUUUUGUUCUUUAAUUCUUCAAAUAUUACAAACUCUCUUUGUUUGUCAAAAUGAGAACAAGAUUGAAGUAUAUUUUAUAGAAAUUUUAGGGGAAUUUGUAUGACCAUUAUUUUCGAUAAUUAAGUUUUGGUCGAAGAGAAUGACAAGAGAAGAGAAAAUUAGCAAACAACCGGUAAGAAGAUAAUUAUGCACUAUGCACAUAAUGCUGGCGCGGCUUUCUCACGCAGCGUUUCUAACGACGCGACGCGACGCGCCAACAAGAUUGAAAGUUUACUUUUUACGCGUUCCCCGUGACUUGUUAUCCGAUAUCCCAGCGCACGUUCGGGAUAUAGACGAUCGAACGAAGAAAGAGAAGCCGAAAGAGCAUGAGAGCAGAAACAACGCGGCAGAAGAUAUAGAAGAAACGAGGUUAAAUAGUAGGCGCGCGCAAGAUGAGCGGAAAUACGCGGCCCCGAUCUACUAAUUGUAAGCGAGAUCAUUUCCGAGCUUACAUUCGCGCGCGACACCGCUCGACUAAUCUACGCUUUAAUCCUCCAUCUAUCGCUUUCGAUAUGUAUCAUUUAAAACUUUCUAACCCAUAAAUAAAUGUAACGUAAUUCUAACACGAAUAAAGUAUUAAAUUUUAACAUUUAAAUAUUAAAAAAGUUUAACCUCUAAAUAAACUAAACUUUAGUUUACGUCUUACGUCAUUCUAUAUAUCCACGCUUCAAUGUUUGUCUAUUUAAACUUUCCAACCUAUAAAUAAGAAUUAUAUAAAAACAUAUUUCUAAUCUAAAUCAAAUACUAAUUUUUAGUGCGUAGAAUAUGCGAUUUAUGUUUUAAGAUAUUACUUACAAUUUAUGAAAAUUUGGAAAGCAACGAAUUGUAUAAACAUCUACAGUCUAAUAAACAAACGGUCCAUAACGAUAGCGUGAAAUGUUAGAGAAAUAUGUUUCCUAACACUUGGAUCGAUUAGGACAGAGGCAGGGUCUGAAAGGUUAGAAGAGGAAAACACAGUAGUGGCGACGACCUUGACUCCUUUCGGUUGUUGUUCUUAAGAGGAGCGUGAGCGGCGAUGGUGUCGGUGGGGUUGCGGAGGAUACGUGGAGGGUGACGGUGACACGGCGUAUCGGUGUCUCCAUUGAAAUGUCUUUCAGACCGGAUUUAAAUAAUCUUCGCUCCGGAAAAUCCUCUUUAUGCGCGAUUCUUCCUCUGUGUAAUAGCGAGCGGAUCUUUUUAACACCGAUAACUGAUAUAUCUACGCCGCCAUUGUCUCGAAAUCGCGCCGACAUUUUCGAUUAAUCGAUUUUCACCAGAUUCCCUAUUCGCGUGCUCAUAGAUAAAAGUGGCGGAAUUUUUUGAGUGUUUAAAUUUCUUUUUUAAAUUUAGGGUUCAUAUCAAUAACUUUUUGUUCAAUUUGUUGAAAUAUUUAUAUAUUACAGUAGUAUUGCAAGAGGUUUCUUCUCGCCUAGAUAGCAGUUAGUUUGUAGCCAACGCGAUUCUACGGCCGGCUAUCUUAAGUUAAUUGUCAGUGACGCACGGACAUGACGAAACGUCGGUCCAUCUAAUUAUGACGGGACUAUAGCUUGGUGAAAGGCGCGCAGUUACAACUAAAAGUCUACGGUGUGCAAUGUUGUGUCGCUAAAUAAGUCCUGAUCAGAAGGACUUCUCGCGUUGCGACGUCAACGUUUUUGCGACGCGUUAUUCUAUGGAUUUUUCAUUGUUUCAAAAAUUAAUAAUAACCCUUAUUGGUAUAAACACUAACAACUCUUUAGAAAAGAGUUUUUCUUUCGCAAAAAUAAAUUAGAUAAAAGAUUAUUGUGAUGUCGAACGAUAUUUUAUAGAAAUUUCGAAUCUUUGAACUUAGUUCUUUACGUGUUAUGCCUAUGUACUUUGCGCAAUGAAGAGAGGAUAAUAAUAACCUUCUCUUUAUCUCUCAAUGUCUGAAGAUACCUUCGGAUGUAAUUACACAAGGCGUAACAUGUAGUAUAGAUAAGAUACGUGUAAUUAACGAAGACGAUAUAGUUUGGAAGGUAACCGUGACACCAUUUCACGGACCUUGUCCGUGAAUCGCAGUUAGACCGGGCCCCUGACCCCAUCCUACGCACCUGCUAGUGGCCCGUGAGCGACGGAGGCUGCGAUCAUCUCCGAAGUUUUACGACGACACACGAGGGCGCAAUCGAUACCGCGGAAGGGAGAGGGGGGCUGUCUCCCCGUGCAGUUACGAUUUCUAUACUUUCUAUUCGAAGCUGUUUGAAAAGAGCGCGCCACUUUUAAUACUUCACAGAUAACGAGGAGAAUAGAAGACAUAGGAAUUUCUAUAAUAGAUAUACUAAUGGUUCAAGCAUCAAGGAAUACUUUUUCAAAGUGUUAAUAAGAAUUUGGAUUAGUUAUUCUUUUAUUUUGCCGAAUAUCCUCUAUUCCUUUUAUUUUUGUUUUGAAAUUCAACAUUAUGGACGGAUAUGCUAUAAUCCUUACAUUUUAUUCUGAAAGCAUUGAAUUUCAAACGUAAAGAACGAAGCCAAUAAAUUCGCAAUAGGUGUUUUAUCCUUUAAUUGAACGAAUGACCCGGCAGAGGAAACCCGGGAGAUUUGAAUUCAAUUAUCGUAAACCUCUGUUUAAUUUUAAUAUUCCUAGAGUUUCCCAUUUUCUGUAAAUGCUUGUUAAUCGAAUUAUUACUAUCGCAGGUAAAAUAAUGAAAAACAAUUUGCGGGCUACGUUGCAGAGCUGUGGUUACACUCUUUUCUUUAAUUUCCCAACAAGGUAGUUUUCUUUUGGUUAAAAAGACCCUGGUACUGCCGCGAUGAUCAAAAGGGGAGAGACGGCGAGGACAAAAAGGAGAACGAAGGCGUCAUAGGGGAGAGUCAAAGAAUUUUACUGGCGGCGCGCUCGCGCGCGCGCUUGCCCGCUCGCACAUGCACAGCAACGGCGUUGGUUUGUUUUCCAGCUCGCAUUGUGCGCGUCGUUCGUUACGUCUGGCAAUUAUCUGGCCGCAAGCUCGCGCUGCUUUUAACAUUUUUAAUCCGCGAAACUUGAGGCUGAACCGCGCAAAGUAACUUUGCCACCAUUUCAUCUUUCUUUUUUUGUUUUACGCUCGAGGAAAUAUUCUACAAAAAAAAAAAAAAAAAAAAAAAAAAAAAUACAAAA